GUGCUUGUGCUCUCUUUCGAUGUGGUUUAUUGGGCCUGUCUCGAGAGACCACCAUGGUGUACCUUAGUUUGGCCAAAUAGAGCUUAUGUAGCCCACACGCGUCUCGUGGCUAUAAUUAGAACUGAAACUCGAGACUGCCCCGAAGGGCGGGACCUCCCCGGCUUGGUCCGCCAGGCUUAUAAGAGCGCGGGAUCCUUGGGACUGGUUUGGCACAAGACUUUCCGACCAGGACACAUACAAAAUUUAGCCAGUAAGUAUUAACGAUAAAUUGAGUCUUUAAUUGUGUGUCUAAGGUGAAAAUAUACGUAAACAAAUCACAACAAGUUCUACCACAAAAUUUUGUGUGUGUGUUUAUCAUGUUGUAAGUUAGCGUUGUUUGAAAAUAAAACUGAACACAAUAUAACUGUAUGGUUGUUUUCAUGGAGAACGUAUAUGACUUCCCCGUUUGGUACGACCGAACAAUGAGACUAAUUAUUGUACGCUUUGAAUAUAUCUUAUCCCAUAAAGGUAUCCAGGGCAUCUCAGUGCGAUCUCAGUGCUUCUUGUGCGAUUUAAGGAAGAUGAUGGUCUAAAAUGGGUUAUCGACCAGAAACCACAAGGACUACUAUACCUGUUGUCUUUCUCUGAGGCCCCACACAUCCAUUCAGAGGAAUAUGCAACUAAAUGAUAAAGCCCGAUGAUAAACUACUGAUCAUGGGGAGACACAGAAUUUGAUCUUCACAGGGACCCCCAACCUCCCCUCCACCCAGUGCUCCAUCGCCCCCAGAGGGUCACCUGACGAAGGGUCUGGAGAUGGCGAGGACCGUGCGGAUGAACCAGGACGGGUGGGCGAUGAUCAGACACUUGAGGUUCUUCCGUAACCUGCGUGCGCACGGGAAGAAGACAUGAAGCACUUCCUGAACCAGCUGAUCCCGGGCAUCUUGCGGCGGGGAGUGGCUCCAUUCAGGUAGGGUCUGAUGGUCUGCAUGUCUAUCCUGUGCUCCUGGUCCCCGAUGACCACGGACCUCCACAGCCGCCCGCUGGCGUCCCUCUCCUCCUCCCCGUCACUGUCCCCUGGGAGCCGCUUGGCCGUGGCCACGGGGGUGUCGUCUGGGGGCCCCGGGAGAAGCACAACGAUCACAGGUCGUUGCCGUUGCUGUUGUCCAGCGAAUCGGUGUCGUUGGGCGUUUCCAUGGCGUCCACGUCCAGGUCGUCCAGGGAUGCCUCGCUGGGGUCCAGGGAUAGCUUCAUGUGGGGCGCCACCAGGGUGCGCCGCUUGCCCUGCCCAGCGGAGUCCCCCAGCUUCAGGGAGCUGGGGGGGUCUGAGGGGGUCACCAGAGAAAACGGUCUUAGAAGAGCCAAAUUGAAGUUGACAUAAUUAUCAUUAAACUUUUUUAUGCAGGUUGGUGUUUCUGAGCGGUUAGGCUAGACAGGCUGAUAACCUUGUCCUAUUUCCUUUUCUGGCAUUUCAUUAUCUUCUCUGAUUGUAGGGAAUUAUGAAAAACAUAUGAUGUGUUUCCUCUACGUGAAUGGUAUCCUUGAUUGCUAUGCUAAUCGAUUUCCCUACACAGUCAUUUUAAUGUGCUGUAAAGCGUUGAUAUAAAUAAUGUCAUAUUAUAAGCCUACUAUCGUCCAACUGAACUGACUUGUUCUGUGGUCAGUGAGGCCGUAUGAUGACUCAACGUCGCCAUCUUCUGGCAGUGGUCUGAAAAGAACAACAGUAACAGGAAAGUCAUAAAGAUGUACAUAUACUAGACGGGUAGAUGCUAUUGACUGAAGAUUAAAUGGCUUGAAGCUUGAUUGAGUCGUUAUUUUGCCUUGUUUUUUUCCAAUGUACAAAAAAAGUAUUACGAUCCAUGCAGAAUGUCUCUAUCCCUUGGCACACAGAGGUGCAGUUGUGGUUUAAAUUGUGUAUCAAAGUACUAUGGAUGUCGUGAGAGAAAGCAGCCUCUGUAAUUACCAGCCCUGACAAUGAUGUUGUAAUUACACGGAUAAAUGCUGGCUGCUAUGCAACAAGCCCAGACACAGUACACACACACGGGUAAGGAGGGCAAACGAUCGCCUGAAGUCAGGACUGCUUUUUUGUUGUCUGAUGGUAAUUGCAGUGAUUAUGUUGCCAGUAAAAUUGACAGAGAGGAGGGGAGCAGGCCUGGAUAACUAUAUUAGGUGCUGGAAAAAGCAUAAAGGCUUAAGCCAACACACUGAAAUACAAAAGCCAAAACGGCAAUACAGUAUUUAUAUAUAUUUAGCGGCAGGCAAGAUUGUAAUGUUAAAAUGUAGUAAUCUGCCUGCAGGGAAACUAUUCAAAACUAUAAAUAGACACACACAUAUAGAGCCAUACUCUGUGUGAGUCACCCACGCACAAGGCACACAGAUUUAUGUAUAAAAUAAUCCGCCCCAUGUGAGUGACUCAGAGCAGGCACCAAUUUACACAGACUCUCACUGCAGUGGAGAAAUAG